UAGGCAGAAGCCUGCAGGAUAAGGCAUUUAGCUGUUAACUAGAGUGUUAUGGGAUCGAGGCCCAUCUGUCUAG
rnacentral:tRNA from 1 species